rnacentral:lncRNA from 1 species
UGAUGGUUUCAAUCCAUUCGAGAUCAUGAGCAAUACUUACAGUAUAUGAUCCGUUAUGCUAAUACCGUACAAUAUUGCACCAUGAAAAUAUAUGAAAGAGCCAUUUAUAUUUUUUAUCAUUGCUUAUUCCUAGACCUACAGCUCCUGAUAAUAUGAUAGAUAUUUAUCUGCGACCCUUAAUCGAUGAAUUGAGAGAACUUUGGG